rnacentral:rRNA from 1 species
GAUGAACGCUGGCGGCGUGCCUAAUACAUGCGAGUCGAGCGAACAGACGAGGAGCUUGCUCCUCUGACGUUAGCGGCGGACGGGUGAGUAACACGUGGAUAACCUACCUAUAAGACUGGGAUAACUUCGGGAAACCGGAGCUAAUACCGGAUAAUAUAUUGAACCGCAUGGUUCAAUAGUGAAAGACGGUUUUGCUGUCACUUAUAGAUGGAUCCGCGCCGCAUUAGCUAGUUGGUAAGGUAACGGCUUACCAAGGCAACGAUGCGUAGCCGACCUGAGAGGGUGAUCGGCCACACUGGAACUGAGACACGGUCCAGACUCCUACGGGAGGCAGCAGUAGGGAAUCUUCCGCAAUGGGCGAAAGCUUGACGGAGCAACGCCGCGUGAGUGAUGAAGGUCUUCGGAUCGUAAAACUCUGUUAUUAGGGAAGAACAAAUGUGUAAGUAACUAUGCACGUCUUGACGGUACCUAAUCAGAAGGCCACGGCUAACUACGUG